rnacentral:rRNA from 1 species
AGAGUUUGAUCCUGGCUCAGAUUAAACGCUGGCGGCAUGCCUUACACAUGCAAGUCGAACGGGCAGCACGGGGGCAACCUGGUGCGAGUGGGCGAACGGGUGAGUAAAGCAUCGGAACGUGCCCUGGAGUGGGGGAUAACGUAGCGAAAGUUACGCUAAUACCGCAUAUUCUGUGAGCAGGAAAGCAGGGGAUCGCAAGACCUUGCGCUCUGGGAGCGGCCGAUGUCGGAUUAGCUAGUUGGUGGGUAAAGGCCUACCAAGGCGACGAUCCGUAGCGGGUCUGAGAGGAUGAUCCGCCACACUGGGACUGAGACACGGCCCAGACUCCUACGGGAGGCAGCAGUGGGGAAUUUUGGACAAUGGGCGAAAGCCUGAUCCAGCCAUGCCGCGUGAGUGAAGAAGGCCUUCGGGUUGUAAAGCUCUUUCGGUGGGGAAGAAAUUGCAUGGGUUAAUACCCUGUGUAGAUGACGGUACCUGGAGAAGAAGCACCGGCUAACUACGUG